AGGCCUAACCUAGAUAGGCGAUGAGCCACUUUAUUGGCAUCCCUUGGGACGAAAGUAGUCCAACAUUUUGUAGAAUCCUCCGUGUAGGUGUCCAAAAGGACCAUUAUUGGGCGUGACCUUGAGUAGGAUUGCCGAAACAACCAUAAGGGCAUCCCCCUCCAUCUCCACAUCUGCAGCGGGCCAUUGUUGCGGAAACAAAGCUGCUUCACGAGCAGCAGUCACCUCGGCCAGUAACGGCGUAGUGAUGCCAUCGAACUUAAAUGCAGAAGCUGCCAAGAAUUCCCUUCCGCAUUCCUAACCACCAUCCCAACGCCUCCCACAGCCCCCAUUUCAUCCCAAGCACCACCAAAAUUACAUUUAAUCCAACCUUCCUCAGGCCACUUCCAUCUCUGAACUUCGGCUGGGAUAGACAUAGACUUAGGCUUUACCUCAUUCCAUUUCUUAUAUUCAAGCAGCCAUGCUUGAGCUUGAAGUUGAAUUUCCGCCGGUGGUAAGGCCGCUCCCUUCCAUAAAAAUUCAUUCCGAUCGAGCCUUCCAAAUAUGCCGCAUCAGAACUAAAACCAAAUCAAAGCUCUCCCUUGAUACCGACUUCACCAAAUGUGACAACCACCAGAUGAAUACCCAAGGGACUCGAAAACCAGAUGCCUGCUGAUCGAGUACACAACACCAGAGCAUGCCCCUUGCCUUCUGAAACAAACACCAAGUUAGUGAUCAAUAAAACAAAACUACUGGGACAUCUUGCUUUUCGCAGUCUCCAGGAUGAAGCCUUUCUUUGGUUUCCGAGAACAGCAUAACAGACUUCACUACAAGAACGAGCAACGAAGUAAGCACUUUUAGUUAUGACUAACCGUUAAAUUGACCAUAAUCGAAAUGUCGUUUUUUAUUUUAUUUUUAUAAACGAUAGCGUAACUAGGUUAAAUAAUUAACUAUUAAGAGGAGGAGGAUCGGAGAAGAUUGAACCCAACUAUGAUGAAUAGACCUAAUUUAUCAUAGCAUUUAUGUUAAGCACAUCGAUUUAGAGAGAGAAAGUCGAAACAUUGAAUUUUUUAUGAAAGAUAACUUUCCACUUCA